rnacentral:rRNA from 1 species
AGAGUUUGAUCAUGGCUCAGAAUGAACGCUGGCGGCGUGCUUUACACAUGCAAGUCGAGCGAGGCGUGUAGCAAUACACAGUCGAGCGGCGAACGGGUGAGUAACGCGUGGAUAACCUGCCCUGAGGUGUGGAACAACCAGGGGAAACUCUGGCUAAUACCGCAUAUGACCGCGAGGUCAAAGGGGGGUCGCAAGAUCUCUCGCCAUAGGAGGAGUCCGCGUUCGAUUAGCUAGUUGGUAGGGUAAUGGCCUACCAAGGCGACGAUCGAUAGCCGGCCUGAGAGGGUGAUCGGCCACACUGGAACUGAGACACGGUCCAGACUCCUACGGGAGGCAGCAGUGGGGAAUUUUGCGCAAUGGGCUAACGCCUGACGCAGCAACGCCGCGUGGAGGAUGAAGGUCUUUGGAUUGUAAACUCCUGUCAGCAGGGAAAAAGCGACCUGACCUCAUACGUCAGGGAGUUGAUUGUACCUGCAGAGGAAGCCCCGGCUAACUCUGUGCCAGCAGCCGCGGUAAUUC